rnacentral:tRNA from 1 species
GCGAAAGUGGCGGAACUGGUAGACGCGCCGGAUUUAGGAUCCGGUGGGGAAACCCUUGAGAGUUCGAGUCUCUCCUUUCGCACCA